rnacentral:rRNA from 1 species
UGGGCGCAGCCUGAUCCAGCAACGCCGCGUGCGUGAGAAGGCCUUCGGGUUGUAAACUGCUUUUAUUUGGGACGAA